UACGUAGGGUCCAAGCGUUAUCCGGAAUCACUGGGCGUAAAGCGUUUGUAGGCGGAAAUUUAAGUGAGAUGCGAAAUCUUGUGGCUCAACCAUAUAGAUGGUAUCUCAUACUGGGUUUCUAGAAGAUAGCAGAGGUAAGUGGAAUUAGUAGUGUAGCGGUAAAAUGCGUAGAUAUUACUAGGAACACUAAUGGCGAAGGCAGCUUACUGGGCUAUAUUUGACGCUGAGAAACGAAAGCGUGGGGAGCGAACAGG
rnacentral:rRNA from 1 species